UACGUAGGUGGCAAGCGUUGUCCGGAUUUACUGGGCGUAAAGAGCGCGCAGGCGGUCGUUCAAGUCGCGUGUGAAAGCCCCCGGCUCAACUGGGGAGGGUCACGCGAUACUGAUCGACUGGAAGGCAGGAGAGGGUAGUGGAAUUCCCGGUGUAGUGGUGAAAUGCGUAGAUAUCGGGAGGAACGCCAGUGGCGAAGGCGACUACCUGGCCUGUUCUUGACGCUGAGGCGCGAAAGCUAGGGGAGCAAACGGG
rnacentral:rRNA from 1 species